rnacentral:rRNA from 1 species
ACCCGCUGAACUUAAGCAUAUCAGUAAGCAGAGGAAGAGAAACUAACAAGGAUUCCCCCAGUAACUGCGAGUGAAAAGGGAUUAGCCCAGCGCUUAAGACGACCGCUCUACGGGGCGGCCGUCGGUGUAGCGUUUGGAGAGCGGGUAUCGACGGCGUUCGGCGGGUCCAAGUUUCGCUGGAACGCGGCUGCGUAGACGGUUUCACACCGGUACGGCCUGGCGGCGUCGUCGAGUUCGUUUCUCUGGGAGUCGGGUUGUUUGGAAACGCAGCCCAAAGCGGGUGGUAAACUUCACCUAAGGCUAAAUACGACCACGAGACCGAUAGCAAACAAGUACCGUGAGGGAAAGUUGAAAAGCACUUUGAAAAGAGAGUGCAAGAGAACGUGAAACCGACAUAAUGGAAGCGGAUGGAGCUGACGUAUCUGGCGCGUAUUCAGUCGGCCGUCGUUGCGAUCUUCUCUCGAGUAUUCCGCAAGGUUGCUCGUGGGAUGUAGUCGUUGCGGUGGUCGGUGCAUUUGCGUGCGGAGUGCGCCGAGUGGGUUGAUGUCGUCGUCGGAGGCGCGUGUAGAGGACUCGCUUGCGAGAACCCUGUGCGUGCGG